rnacentral:rRNA from 1 species
AUUGAACGCUGGCGGCAGGCCUAACACAUGCAAGUCGAGCGGAUGAAGGGAGCUUGCUCCUGGAUUCAGCGGCGGACGGGUGAGUAAUGCCUAGGAAUCUGCCUGGUAGUGGGGGAUAACGUCCGGAAACGGGCGCUAAUACCGCAUACGUCCUGAGGGAGAAAGUGGGGGAUCUUCGGACCUCACGCUAUCAGAUGAGCCUAGGUCGGAUUAGCUAGUUGGUGGGGUAAAGGCCUUCCAAGGCGACGAUCCGUAACUGGUCUGAGAGGAUGAUCAGUCACACUGGAACUGAGACACGGUCCAGACUCCUACGGGAGGGAGCAGUGGGGAAUAUUGGACAAUGGGCGAAAGCCUGAUCCAGCCAUGCCGCGUGUGUGAAGAAGGUCUUCGGAUUGUAAAGCACGUUAAGUUGGGAGGAAGGGCAGUAAGUUAAUACCUUGCUGUUUUGACGUUACCAACAGAAUAAGCACCGGCUAACUUCGUG